rnacentral:rRNA from 1 species
GACGAACGCUGGCGGCGUGCCUAACACAUGCAAGUCGAACGAAGAAUGUUUUUCGGAAUAUUCUUAGUGGCGGACGGGUGAGUAACGCGUGAACAAUCUGCCCCGUACAAAGGGAUAGCCUCGGGAAACCGGGAUUAAAACCAUAUAACGCUUUAGUACCGCAUGGUAAUAAAGUCAAAUCGAUUAAGAGGUAUGGGAUGAGUUCGCGUCUGAUUAGCUAGUUGGUGAGGUAAGGGCUCACCAAGGCGACGAUCAGUAGCCGGCCUGAGAGGGUGAACGGCCACACUGGAACUGAGACACGGUCCAGACUCCUACGGGAGGCAGCAGUGGGGAAUAUUGCACAAUGGAGGGAACUCUGAUGCAGCGACGCCGCGUGAGUGAAGAAGGUCUUCGGAUCGUAAAACUCUGUCCUUGGUGAAGAAAAGGACGGUAGCCAAGGAGGAAGCCCCGGCUAACCUACGUG